CUUUAUACAAUUGUCUUCCAUUUAUUGCCAUUGAUGAUGGACUUCCACAUACAUAGGGAAAAAUUCUGGGUUUAAGAAGGAAGCAUAUAAAAGUGUUCUUAAUAAAAGGUUAGAUAGUGAGUAAUGGAGAAAGGACAGUUCUAUGUAUCUGUUGUCGCAUUAAAAAGACACCCCCAAACAGUGGCUUGAAACACCAGUAGUUAUGCAGUUUGCUCCUGAAUCUGGGGUUGACUGGCUUAGCUCAGCAGCUGUUGCUUGGGGUGGGGGGCAUCUCCUAUGGUUCCCGACAGAUGGCGGUUGAGGCUGCAGUCACCCCAAAAGUGGUUUUGUUCACAUGCUCAGGGUCUGAGCUGGGAGACCCAAGCAACUGGAUCCCAGAUGAUCAGGUCUUGCACAGCGACUAUUCUUACAGACAGCAAACAGGCCCCGUGGAGGGGAAGGCCUGGGCCAUGGUCACAGGGGGACCAAGGCCUUGGCUGCCCAGCCCCCACCCCCGGUUCCUGCCCACAGCAGGAGUUAUACAAGCCAGACUCAUGUCAGCACGACCUCAGACAAGGCCAACCAGAAAAGUCCCCACCUGGACCCGGACCCUGCACUGACCUGAACCUGACUUUUACCCUCAUGCUAACCUUGACCUGAACUCCUUCUGAACUCUGGCCCUCACUCCAAUCCUAACCCCUAACUUGACACGGACUCUACUUCUGACCUUUACCUUAGUCCCUAGCAUCGGCCUCAACCCUAACCCUGAACUCAUCCCUUCCCCAGGGGCCACCCCUCCCUGGUCCCACAGUGGGCAGCCGUCCCUCAGCUGAGGCCACGUGGCCCUCACUUAGGAGAGAGCUCACUCAGGGAGCAUCUACCCAGGGCAUUGCUGAGGCUUCUCCAGCAACCCUGCACUCCCUGGCUGCCCCCCACACACUCACUCCCCCCAGCCUUCACCAAGGCUGCAGUGGACAAGGGAUUUGUUUGGGCCCUGGCUCCCAGCACCCUCAAGGGUGAUCUGAAUAGAGGCCUAGUCAGACCUUGGGCCCUCUAGUCGCCCACCAGCUCCUAUUCUGGGGUCCCUGAGGACUCAGCUUCCCUGGCUUCCUCUUCUCUCUGCCUUCUGUGCCUUUCCGGGGGAGAGCCAACCCUCCACACCUGCUCCAUGUUCUUCCAGACAAUAUCCCAUGCAGGGAACAGGGCUGGCAUCCAAGAGGCCCCUGGUAAGGCUCGCUGACUGAGGGGGGAGCCCCUCUGCACCCCAAUCCCCUUCAGGAGGACACCAUCUCCACCAACCACAACCAUUCAACAGAUAUAACCUGGCUCCCACGUGGCAUUUCCUGCAGGGGGUGGAAGGGAAAUGGGGGUGCAGAGGAAGCAGGGGUUGAGAGGUUGCAGGAGAGGCUGCAUGUAGGGCUGGGGCUGCAGUGCGGGGACAGGGACGGUCAGGCUGUGUGACAUCUGAGAGGCCAUUUAAUUUCUCAGGUGUCUCUUUCUCAGCCCCAAAUCCAGGUCCUCCAGGGCAGGGCUGUUGUAGCCCUUUGCAGCCUGUCAGAAUGCCACCUGCAGCUGUCAACGAGCAGGAACCCCCUGACCUCUCGCCUCUCUGGCCCAGGUGAUCAUGAGGGUCAAUUAUAAUGAAUUUUGCCACUUUGUCACCAGCACU
rnacentral:lncRNA from 1 species